rnacentral:rRNA from 1 species
UACGAACCGUACGAACGUUAUUCGGAAUCACUGGGCUUAAAGGGUGCGUAGGCGGCGCGGAAAGUUGGGUGUGAAAUCCCUCGGCUCAACCGAGGAAUUGCGCCCAAAACUGCCGUGCUUGAGGGAGACAGAGGAGAGCGGAACUAAGGGUGGAGCGGUGAAAUGCGUUGAUAUCCUUAGGAACACCGGUGGCGAAAGCGGCUCACUGGGUCUCUUCUGACGCUGAGGCACGAAAGCUAGGGGAGCGAACGGG